GUGGAGCGUGCACGCACACUUAGGAGGAUGUCAAAACCAUUUGUAAAGUUUUUUAGAAAUUGAGCAAAGGAACAUUUUAUCCAUUUGUCAGAACUGUGAGCUCUGCCUCAAUUGCAUUAGCUUUUUAUUCAUUUUUAAGUGACUGAAUUGAUGAAAACAAAUUCCUUGUGAAGUCUCGCCAAAAGGCGUCAGGGGAAACGGCAUCUGUUCAUGUUCUGGAUCCGCGUUCACAUUCUGACGGAGGAGCUUCAUGUCAAAACCAGUAUCCCCGUGGUAUGAAGUCCUCUUAUUGUCAGCUAUUCAGUUGCUACUAGAGACUACAGAUUUCAGAGUCUCCUCACCUAUUGCCUGCAGGCAGCUGCUUGGUCAAGGGAACAUCCUGUACACGCCUCCUGAGAGCAAGACACAACAUACAGGGUGGUACCGGUUCAAUCAAGAUGAUGUGCCUGCUGCCCACAGGGUGUGUUUGCUCACCCAACAGGCACGAUGGAUACAGAACGUCUUUGAAAUCCAUAAAACACCACAUAGAAUAUGAUUACUUUCAAAAUAAUCAGGCAAGCAAAGAAGAUAUUUGGGAAGCCUGAGACCUUUGCCACAUCUAGGCUGGAGGGGAAAGUCCCUGCAAAGGACCAGCAGAAUGCUAGAAGUUACUGAAGGAGAGGAAAGCAAGUCGAACCCCCGGACCCAAGGCAAAGGAAGAAAGAGCUGCAGUGAGAUCCAAUAUGAGAAAAUGGACAACUGAAAGAUCUCUGCAGGAUUUCAACAUUCCUAUUAGG
rnacentral:lncRNA from 1 species